GCUCAGUUGGUUGAACGUCCAACUUCAGCUCAGGUUGUGAUCUUGUAGUUUGUGGGUUCAAGCCCCACAUUGGGCU
rnacentral:tRNA from 1 species